rnacentral:rRNA from 1 species
CCCUUGUACACACCGCCCGUCACACCAUGGGAGUUGUCUGCACCAGAAGUAGGUAGUCUAACCGUAAGGGGGGCGCUUACCACGGUGUGGUCAAUGACUGGGGUG